GCAAGGUCAAGUGACUCAGCAGGCUGCCCACUAGGAAGCAGAGGAGCUGGGAUUCCUGCCGGGAGCAGCUGUUUGCCAAGUCUCCUGCCUUCCCUGGCACCUCCGGAUGGAGCAGGCCCGCGUCCUCACAGAGCCUGAAGGGUGCCUGUGGAGCAGCCUGGUGGGUGAGAGUCUGGCUGGGCUCAAAUCCUGGCUUUGCUGCUGACCAGCUGUGUGACCUUGGGCAAGUGUCUCAACCUCUCUGAGCCCACUUUCCUCACAGGUGGUGAGUCCUCAGCAAGGCUCACUGAAUGAUUUCUGCAUUCUCGGCACCCAGUGCAAGGCCUCGUUUCCAGUGGACAUCAUUCGAGGUCUGUCGAGAACACCCCAGCUGUGUUGGUUGAUGUGCACCUGCAGGCCUCCUUGCCUGGGUGACAACCUCAACAUAUUGAAACCCUCAGUGACAGAACACGGGCAGAAAGAGCACUGGAAUUCUGGUUUUUGCUUUUGAUUCCAACUUACUCUGCCUUUUGCCUUAAAGUCUAUGAGUCUGAUAUUAUUAA